AUAUCUUUCUCGACCUUUUGGCUAAGAGCAAGUGUAGUAUAAGUGUAGUAUCUGUGCUUAUCAGUUUUACCACUGAUAGUGGAUCAAUGGUCCACAUGAUAUUAAAUUUAUUUCUUGAGGGAGGAAUGCACACAGUAGCUUGCUGUUGAGCCUCUUGUGUGUCGCUCUUGCAUUUGCACUAUAACAAUUGCUGGUGCACCCCAC